AAAAGAUAAGGAAUGAAGUUGGGUUGGCUCCCAACAAGCGCUUGGUUUAGAGUCAAUAGCCCAACUUUUGGAAAUGCAGUUGUCGCAUAUGGUUUUGGCCGAUGACCAUUAACUUUGAAAGUUGUACCGUUGAGAUCAAUCAAAGGACCAACGAGUGUGAAGUUUCCCGGGAAAGAGUUUCAACCGUGAGUUGUAGAUGAGAAUGCCUUUGACCCACAUAAAAUUCUUUCUUCAAGAUGUGCUUGUCAUGCCACUUCUUU
rnacentral:lncRNA from 1 species